ensembl:lncRNA LINC02301 long intergenic non-protein coding RNA 2301
GCGUUCCUGUGUGAUGGGGCCGGAGCCAGUAAACAGGCUUCCUUCUCGCUCUGCUGUAUAAGAAGAAGAAGUAGGAGAAACAAAAUAAGGAGGAGAAGAAGUAAAAUAAUUUGAGAAGGAAUAUGAAGAUUUUAUUGGUGGAACAGAGAAAGGAAAAGCAGUUAAGAAAACAAAGCUCAAGAAACUGAAACUAGCCUGAGAAGGAAGAUACUGAGUCAGAUGGAGCCAUUUAUAUAUGGAGAUCCAGGAUUUAUAAGAUCCAUACCAUUGAAUUUGAAGUAAGGAUACGAUCAAGCUGAUAAUCCAAAGUGCACUAACUUCUAAGGACGGAAAUGUUUCUCUGGGGCUAUCAUUGCACCCUCGCUCUCUGGAAUUUCGGUAUCAUGAGAACACAUAAGUAAGAGCCAAAAUUCAUAGGGAUUCUGCCUGGAGAGGAACACAGGGAUUCUGAAAUAACCAUGACAUACAUAAGUACCUCCAAUUAUUUGCCUCUCAGACAAAGCCAGCAGCUGUUGAAAUAUGGACACUGGGUUACUACGUAUAAUUUGAGGAUAUGAGGAAUUAUUUAAUUUAAUAUUAAAUUUUCUUGUUACAAUUUGGAACUAUUAUAUUUUAAGAAUCUAGUUAAUUCCGCACUUCAGGCAAAUCUUUAAGUCUGCAAUGUUUUGCAAUGCAAUGAGAGACAGAUAGAUGGGAUGGAUUUAAUGGUACCAAAGAUGGAAAAGUGAGUGGCAAGGACUAAGACCAUCCUUGCUGACAGGAAAGCAGGAGCAAGAGGAGAUGCUCUUAUUAAAGGAUCAUCCUACAAAACUGUCCUUGCGGUUUACUGUAACUAAUGUUUCUAAUGCAAUCCUAAAACUACAUAACACUGGAGGUCAUAUUAGUCAGCACUAGGGGAGAAAUGUCUUCUGCUGAACAACAUCCUUAACACCCCUCAGCAGAAUCAGAGAAUGCGGACAGAAGAAAUGCUCUAUGAGCUGGGGGAGUUUUUAUUAGAAAGGACUUAUCCACUUGGAAAAAAAGCAGUACAGCAGAGGCUAACACCACCAAUCAUUGAACAGAAAAAGGAUUGUAGAGUCAUAACUGGGAAGAAGUGUAAUUCAUCUAGAUCGUUCUUCAAGCUCCAGAGGAUUGUUAUUCAUUCACGGAUUGUGAACUAAAUAUUUCUCUUAAAUGUAAAGUGGACCAGAGUUAGUUUUUUCUCCCUAUGACUUUGGUCAGAUGGCCAUGGAUUUUGUGAACAUUCAAUAAAUAUUUAUUAGUAUUAAUGGUUCUGUAUCUUCAGUGAAAUAUUGUCCUGCCCUAUAAUCCUUUCAGUUUUCAGUCUAAAAUUUUUUUUCACAACAAAUUUUAACCUAUUCUAUAUUUGUUGUAAAUGGAACAUUAAAAACUGAGAAUGACGAA